UAACUGCGCAUCGGCGAGUAGCGUUCGCCAGGGAUGGCGGGGCACGUCAACAUACUCGCGGCAGAUCCGCGUGGCGUGUCCGGUUCGAAAGGACUUCGCAAGAACGUGGCGAGACGUCUCUGCGGGCGGGGUCGGUGCAUCGCCCGGAUCAGCCCCGAGGACC
rnacentral:sRNA from 1 species